UACGGGGGGGGCAAGCGUUGUUCGGAAUUACUGGGCGUAAAGGGUCUGUAGGUGGCCAACUAAGUCAGACGUGAAAUCCCUCAGCUUAACUGGGGAACUGCGUCUGACACUGGUUGGCUUGAGUGCAGGAGAGGAACGCGGAAUUCCAGGUGUAGCGGUGAAAUGCGUAGAUAUCUGGAGGAACACCGGUGGCGAAGGCGGCGUUCUGGACUGCAACUGACACUGAUGGACGAAAGCCAGGGGAGCAAACGGG
rnacentral:rRNA from 1 species